UGAACUCACAGCAGGCUGCUUCACUGAAGACUAUUCCCUGAGGGCUUCAGCUAAUUAACUUUAGAGAAUUCCUAGCUUGAACAAAUACUAUGUACCCUUGAACUGGUACUACUGAAAGCUCAUCCAAACACCCAGGUAUUUUCCCCAUCCUGAGCUGGGACAAGUCUGACAGCCUGCAGUUCCUUCUGGGCUCUUCCUGAUCUCAAAAGCUGUUUUGGAGAAAAAGGAAACAGCAUCUGCUAUCUACUCUAGACAAGAAGUUGUGAAUAUGCAGCAAAUGUUCUGGAAGCAAACUGAAGACAUGGAAGUAAAACUAAAAAGUCCAGUGGUUCAAAAUGAGAUUAUUGUCACAGGAAAUGGAGCAGUCUCUGCAGUCAGAAAGAUAUGGACACACCAUUAUGACUGGCUUGAUAUGGGGAGAACUCCUGAUACACAGAGGCCAGUGUUGGCUGGACCUUUCUAAGCUCCUCAUUUUUGUAGCUCUGGAGCUUUCUAAGCUCCUAAGCUUUCUAAGCUUUGGAGCUUUCUAAGCUCCUCAUUUUGUCUUAAAUGGAAGGGUAUGUCAGUCAGUGAUACUGCCCCCUCUGUGUCAAAAUAAAAAAUGAAGUAAACAUGAGAAAGAAAUA
rnacentral:lncRNA from 1 species